rnacentral:rRNA from 1 species
GCAAAUCAAUAUAAAUUGAUUUAAUAAUUAUUUAUUAAUUUUUUUUUUGUUAUUAUAAUAUAUUAAAAAUAAUUAUAUAAAUAAUAGUUUUAGUAAUUUUUAAUGAAAAAAUAAUUUUAAUAAUAGUUUAUUAUGUAUUGUGAAAGAAAAUUGAAAUAAUUUGAAAAAUUGUUAUUAUAAAAGAAAAUUUAAUUUAUUGUACCUUGUGUAUCAGGGUUUAUCAAAUAAUUAAUAAUUAUUUCUUAAUCUCGAUUUUAUAAGAGUUAAUAAUUUAUGAAAGUUAAUGUAUCAAAAUUAUUUUUAAUAAAUUAUUAGGAAUGAAAUGUUAUUCGUUUAUAAAGGUAUCUAGUUUUUUAGAAAUAAAUUUAAUUUACAAAUUUUUAAUUUCUUUUAUUUUAUUAAUUAAAAAAUUUAUUAAUUUGAAUAUUUUAGCUUUAAAAUAAAAUUUUAUAAAUUAAUAAUUUUUAUUUAAAAUAUAUGCAUAGAAUUAGCAAUUAUUUAUAAGUUUGUUAUAAAUUAUUUUAUUAUUUAUAUUAUUUAUUUGAUUUUAAAUUUUUAUAAAAAUAUUUUUAAAUUUUUUUUUUUUAAAAAAUAAUAAUGUUAAAAUUAGUAUAUUAUAAUUUAUGCAUAAUUAAUUUAGUUUGAUAAGUUUAUAUAAAGAACUCGGCAAAUAUUAUUCUCGCCUGUUUAACAAAAACAUGUCUUUUUGAGUUAUUUUAAAAGUCUGACCUGCCCAAUGAAUAAAUUUUAAUGGCCGCAGUAUUUUAACUGUGCAAAGGUAGCAUAAUCAUUAGUCUUUUAAUUGAAGGCUGGUAUGAAUGGUUGGACGAAGUAUAAUCCGUUUCAUAUAAAUUUAUUUUAGAAUUUUAUAUUUUAGUUAAAAAGCUAAAAUAUAAUUAAAAGACGAGAAGACCCUAUAAAUCUUUAUAUUUAUUAUUAUUUAAAUUUUUUAGACUUAUUUUAUUUUUAUAAUAUAAAAUAUUUUGUUGGGGUGAUAUUAAAAUUUAAUAAACUUUUAAUUUUUUUUUUCAUUAAUUUAUGAUUUAUUGAUCCAUUAAUAAUGAUUAUAAGAUUAAGUUACUUUAGGGAUAACAGCGUAAUUUUUUUGGAGAGUUCAUAUCGAUAAAAAAGUUUGCGACCUCGAUGUUGGAUUAAGAUAUAUUUUUAGGUGUAGCUGCUUAAAUAUUAAGUCUGUUCGACUUU